rnacentral:pre_miRNA from 1 species
AGCCCUCUGUAUCCGUGCUGAGAUUUCGUCACACCAGACCACAAGGGCUGAUGAGACUUCCAAGAUAAGUGAAGCG